UACGGGGGGGGCAAGCGUUGUUCGGAAUUACUGGGCGUAAAGGGCUCGUAGGUGGCCAACUAAGUCAGACGUGAAAUCCCUCGGCUUAACCGGGGAACUGCGUCUGAUACUGGAUGGCUUGAGUUCGGGAGAGGGAUGCGGAAUUCCAGGUGUAGCGGUGAAAUGCGCAGAUAUCAGGAGGAACACCGGUGGCGAAGGCGGGACUCUGGGCCGAUACUGACGCUGAGGAGCGAAAGCGUGGGGAGCAAACAGG
rnacentral:rRNA from 1 species